rnacentral:rRNA from 1 species
UGAGGAAUAUUGGUCAAUGGACGGAAGUCUGAACCAGCCAAGUAGCGUGCAGGAUGACGGCCCUAUGGGUUGUAAACUGCUUUUGUAUGGGGAUAAAGUUAGGGACGUGUCCCUAUUUGCAGGUACCAUACGAAUAAGGACUGGCUAAUUCCGUGCCAGCAGCCGCGGUAAUACGGAAGGUCCAGGCGUUAUCCGGAUUUAUUGGGUUUAAAGGGAGCGUAGGCUGGAGAUUAAGUGUGUUGUGAAAUGUAGACGCUCAACGUCUGAAUUGCAGCGCAUACUGGUUUCCUUUAGUACGCACAACGUUGGCGGAAUUCGUCGUGUAGCGGUGAAAUGCUUAGAUAUGACGAAGAACUCCGAUUGCGAAGGCAGCUGACGGGAGCGCAACUGACGCUUAAGCUCGAAGGUGCGGGUAUCAAACAGG